AACUACAGCCAUGCCACCCUGAACGUGCCUGAUCUCAUCUGAUCUCAGAAGCUAAGUAGAGUCAGGCCUGGAUGGGAGACCACCUAAGAAGACCAAGUGUUAAAAAAA
rnacentral:rRNA from 1 species